AAGAUUUUCCCGUUUCAAGUUCGCAAAAACUGUUUUCUGUUCGUGGGGUUAGCCUACUCCUAUGCAUCCUCCAUUCCAAGUUCAAUCCCUGCGGUUUUCGGCGGCGACUCGCUUGCGUUAGCUGGCUUGCGGCGUCGUGGUCGGCGGCUUAGUGAGUGGGCAGCGGGAAUGAUGGCGUGGUGGUCGACGGAUAGGCUGGGCGUCCCUGAGGGUGGGCGGUUGACCACGGGUGCGCGACGGCCUGGUGCUUGGCGGCCACGGCGGCGUGGUGAGCGCGUCGUGGCCUAGAUGUUGGGAAGCAUGGUUUGUGGUGGUCGGCUGGCUGCAGCGGCAGUUCAGGUGGUGCUGGCGGCGGCACUAUGAGCAGUGCUCGCGGCGGCACUGGAUCGACCGUGACCGCUUCGUUCCAUCCUCCGGCCGGCUGCCACGGUUGCUUGAUCCAGUACGUGUUGGUGAGUUCAGUACAGAUCUCUUCAACGCCUCCUCUAUGGAUGGGGUUGAUGCCCUGUAUUUCUUUUGCCCCAAAUCCCUAAUUGGAUAUAGAUCUCUAUUUAAACACGGAGUCUGAAGUCCCACUCUAAUCAUUGUUAUGUAGUCUCUUCUCUGUUUGAAAGUGACAAUCUUCUGGCAAUUGGUUGCCUCUGACUUGUUGUUACAAAUCGUGUAUUGUUUUGUUCAUAGCCUGAUGCAUUUUGCACUAUGAUUGGAAUGUGAAAUAUCUGACGGCAUUGAACAGUUGGUAUCUUUUUCACUUGCCGUCUUAGACAUAGACCGUUCUGUUUUGGGCAAGUUGCUCAGAGCAGAUAGUUGUUUGAUUAAUUUUCUGACUAAUUAAUACCAAUGGGAUUAUGGGAUGUGGAGGUGUCUUAUGUACCUGUCCAAGAGCUCGCCUCGGCAUCCUCACGAAGUCGAGAUCCUGACUAAGAGAGCUCUCCCCAAUGUGUGCAGUUACUGCUCAACAUGUAAAGAAGCUAAUUGUUGUUAAUACAAUCAAUAUUUUUGCUGAUUAGUUUUUGGAGGGCAAAUCAUUGCGGCGCUGAGCAGAUGUCCAAUUUGAUUUGUUGAAGUGGAUCAUGGUUCCUCCUUUACUGAUGAAUGUUGCAUGAGACAUUCCCACCAGGCUUCAAUGGAGGGGAAGGUAGCCGCUAGACUUGGACUCAAAUGGACACCCUGCCAGGAGAGCACCAUGGAGAAGACGGACGAGGUGAAGAGGCAGUCCUUGCAGAGAUGGGUGGCGGUUUCCGGGACCUGAAGCACCCACAUAUCUGUGUUUUGAUUUCUUGUUUGAAACUACUGGGCGUCCAUAUCACUAUCACUUCACCAUCCAGUGAAGAAUGGAUCCAUCAACUCUAAUAUGAUUAAUGUCAUCUUCCUUGGGGCUUUUUUUACCACUGCCAUAGACAAGUGUUUAUUUAGUUCAUGGUCAUUUCUAUUUAGUUCGUGGCUGAUGGGAGCAUGAGGAGUACCUUUCAAACUACUGUUCCUCUUUUCAUCUUAUAGUUUUUGUUGCUUACA